UACGUAGGGUGCGAGCGUUGUCCGGAAUUAUUGGGCGUAAAGAGCUCGUAGGCGGUCUGUCACGUCUGCCGUGAAAACCCGAGGCUUAACCUCGUGGCUUGCGGUGGAUACGGGCAGACUAGAGGUAGGUAGGGGAGAACGGAAUUCCUGGUGUAGCGGUGAAAUGCGCAGAUAUCAGGAGGAACACCGGUGGCAAAGGCGGAUCUCUGGGCCGUAACUGACGCUGAGGAGCGAAAGCAUGGGUAGCGAACAGG
rnacentral:rRNA from 1 species